CCGUGCGUCUCCAUCACUCCGGAAGGCUCCAUCACGCCGGCACCGGGUGACAAAUAUUCUCCUCUGGGUUCGCCAUUUCUGUACGGAUUGUCCAGCUACACCAUUUCCACACGGCUUCAGUCCUCCGCUGUUAUUGUAGCUGCCGAGAGCCACCGUAUGUCGUCUUGCAAAGUUAUUGAAUAAAUUGCGUGAUGGGCAAAGAGGAAGAUGGAAGGCCACCCAGGCCUUCUACAUCGAUUUCACUCACCCAGGGAUAUUAUGGAACUGUAAAUCCAUAUAACCUACCAUAUAUGAUGUCUCCAAAUCCAUAUCCAUAUCCACAUCCAAGUCCAUAUGCUUGGGGUAGUCAGUAUCUGGCACCGCCACCCUUUGGACCAACCAUGCCAUCCCCUCUGUCAAGUAAUCCGGAGGAGUUGAGACGAGGAUAAGAUACAACCCAGCAUUCUGCGAUGCCACCACGUGUGCCAACUAUGCCAUCCAAUUCUGUAGCUGAAAAGAAUUUAGAAGAAACUUCAUCCGACAUAAAUAUAAAGCCAGAUGUGGAGGGGAUGAAUGAAGUUUCAGAUGAUGAUAAUAGAGUUGAGCCUCCAAAAUCUGGUAUGCACUUUGCUACUGAUAAAGAGGUUUUAGACUAUUACAAAUGAUACGCCAAACAAGGGGGUUUUGGUGUUAUCAUAAGAAGAACGAAGAGAGAUCUGGAUCGGGGUGCGAAGUAUGUGACGAUUGGCUGUGCACGUGGCGGCAAGUAUUAUCCUAGCCACAGUAAUUUGUCAAAGCCACGAGUAAUGACAAAAACUGAUUGUAAGGCAAAGAUAAAUGCUCGCUUUGUGAAUGGGGUAUGGGUGUUGACCAGUGUUGAUCUUGUUCACAAUCACAGUACGGUUAGCCCACAAAAAUCUAGAUUUUUUAGAUCUCACAAAUAUUUGGAUGAAUAUAGUCAGAGAAUGCUCGAUUUGAAUGACAGAGCGGGUAUUUGGAUGAAUAAAAAUUUCCAAGCACUUGUGACUGAUGCGGGAGGUUUUGAGAAUUUAGCUUUCCAGGAGAAAGAUUGUAAGAAUUUUAUUGGCAAAGCUAGAUAUUUAAGAAUGGGUAAAGGAGGUGGUGAAGCACUAAACGACUACUUUAAGAGAAUGAGGAAAAUGAAUGAUGACUUUGUUUCCGUCAUGGAUGUGGAUGAUGAGUUUAGAGUUAGGAAUGUGUUUUGGGCUGACGCACGAAGUCGGGCAGCAUAUGAGUAUUUUGGAGACGUUAUCACGUUCGAUACAAUGUACCUAACAAAUAGGUACGGAAUGCCGUUUGCUCUAUUUGUUGGAGUAAACCAUCAUGGACAGUCCAUACUCUUAGGGGCAGGCUUGAUUUCAAGCGAGGACACAAGUACCUUCGUGUGGUUGUUUGAAGCAUGGUUAGAAUGCAUGAAUGGACGGGCACCUGCAGCCAUCAUAACAGACCAAGACAGGGCAAUGAAGAAUGCGAUUCAAAUUGUAUUCCCGAAUGCAAGACAUAGAUAUUGUCUUUGGCAUAUAAUGCAUAAACUGCCAGAGAAAUUGGGAUCCCACUCGUCAUAUAACGCAGGACUGAAGACUGCAAUUCAGAGUGCAGUCUAUGAUACACAAAAUUGCGAACAAUUUGAGGAGAAGUGGGGGCAGUUAAUUCAUAACUAUGAAUUAACUGACAAUGCAUGGUUGCAGGGGUUGUACACCGAGAGGUCAUUUUGGGUACCAGUUUACUUGAAAUGUGUAUUCUGGGCUGGUAUGAGCACUACCCAACGGUCUGAAAGCAUGAACGCCUUCUUCGACGGAUAUGUGCAUUCCAGUACGACAUUGAAAGAAUUUGUCGAUCAAUUUGACAAUGCUUUGAGGAAGAAGGUGGAGGCGGAGACGACAGCUGAUUUCCAGUCGUGUAACCAAACAAUCCCAUGUGUAUCCUCAUUCAAAAUUGAGAGGCAGUUUCAAUCAUUAUACACGAAUGCAAUAUUUAAAGAGGUCCAAGCAGAGGUUUGGGGGAUGCUUUUAUGUAACCCUUCACUUGUGGGCACUGAAGGUAGCAUUUCUACCUUCGAUGUUUUCGAAGAAAUCUCUACACCUGAUGGACAGUCCAAAAUUGUGAAGUACAUAGUUUACUUUAAUGAAGACGAAUGCGAAGUUCAAUGCACGUGUGCCUUGUUUGAGAUGAGGGGGAUUCUCUGUAGGCAUGCAUUUAAAGUCUGUCAGAUGAAGUACAUUCAUGUGCUGCCAGAGAAAUAUGUGUUGGAUAGAUGGAGGAAAGACUUAAAGAGAAGUUACACACUGGUUAAGAGUAGCUAUGAUGAUGUACGGGUCAAUGCGGAUGCACGACGCUAUGAGCUUGUCAUACAAAGAUGUCUAAGAUUUGCGACACGUGUAUCUCGAAAUGAUGAGCAUGUGAAUGCAUUCUUUCAUUUGUUGGAUGACUUUGAGCAUAAGUAUGUAGGAUUAGAGCUUGAGUUCGGUUCAACAAAGUUAAAAGAGAACGUGGUCGACGAUAAAUAUAAGAAAAUAUUAAGCCGGCACGUUGUUCGGGGGAAAGGGAGACCGCCAACUAGAAGAAAGGUCCCAAUGGUCGAGAAGGCUACAAGGAAGAGAAAGAAAAAACAAACAUACAGGAAUCUAUUUGACGAUACAUCACACAAUGUUGACCUCCCGGUGUUAGAAGUUGGUGCUACUGUUGAGGAGGUUGUUAUCCAAACCCAGUAUAGUACUCUAACACAAGUAAGGCUUUCGGCCAAUGAUGAGGCUACGUCAAGCUUGCCCCAUGGAACUUAGCAUAGAUAUUGUCCCUGAGUUUUGUAUUUAUAUUUUGGAGAUCUCAGCCUUUUGUGAACUAUGGUGGAAGAUAGAGAUAGAGAUUGGGCAUUUUGUCUGAAAGCAAAUCUGGUGGAAGCACUCUGAAUGAUUUUGAGGCUGGUCUUAGUUCUAUUCUAAAAUACAUUAGAGGCCAGAGAAAUUUUGAACAUCUAUCUCAUGGGACUUUGACUAGAAAGCUUUUUGGUUCAACCGGAAACUGUUUUUUGAUUGUUCACAUACGCUUCUUGUUUCAUGGUUGUGAAAAAAACUGUAUGUUGUUUCAUUAAGUUCUCAAGGUGAAGAGUUAAGGUUCUCUGCUGGUUUUAUGAUAUUCUUCUCUAUGCUAGGAAAAUUUGGCGCCUUAUGAAGGCAUCAAUACCCUUUACUAUAUUUGCUGCUGUGUAUUGUGUUUUGUUUGGUCUUGUUGGUGGGAGUUAUGCUCAUAGCUUCUCUUCUCCUAUUCUCUGCACAAGUGUUGACAUAAUUUUGUUUUUCAGCUUGGGUGGGGCUGUCAUUUCUGCAAUUCUCAAAUGUGCAAUAUCUUCUUGGAUUUUUCUUCUGCUGAAAUGCACAAG